CCUACGGGGGGCAGCAGUGAGGAAUAUUGGUCAAUGGGCGCGAGCCUGAACCAGCCAAGUCGCGUGAAGGAUGACUGCCCUACGGGUUGUAAACUUCUUUUAUAAAGGAAUAAAGUGAGGCAAGUGUGCCUUUUUGUAUGUACUUUAUGAAUAAGGAUCGGCUAACUCCGUGCCAGCAGCCGCGGUAAUACGGAGGAUCCGAGCGUUAUCCGGAUUUAUUGGGUUUAGAGGGAGCGUAGAUGGGUUGUUAAGUCAGAUGUGAAAGUUUGCGGCUCAACCGUAAAAUUGCAAUUGAUACUGGCAGCCUUGAGUACAGUUGAGGUAGGCGGAAUUCGUGGUGUAGCGGUGAAAUGCUUAGAUAUCACGAAGAACUCCGAUUGCGAAGGCAGCUUACUAGACUGCCACUGACAUUGAUGCUCGAAAGUGUGGGUAUCAAACAGGAUUAGAUACCCCAGUAGUC
rnacentral:rRNA from 1 species